GUGCACCAGUCGCGAAACCUCCGCAAUGCGGGAAACCGCGACGGGGGACCCCGAGUGCCGUGGCAACGCCACGGCUUUUCCGGAGUGUAAAAAGCUCCGGGAAUAAGGGCUGGGCAAGGCCGGUGGCAGCCGCCGCGGUAAUACCGGCGGCCCGAAUGGUGGCCGCUAUUAUUGGGGCCUAAAGCGUCCGUAGCCGGGCCCGUAAGUCCCUGGCGAAAUCCCACGGCUCAACCGUGGGGCUUGCUGGGGAUACUGCGGGUCUUGGGACCGGGAGAGGCGGGGGGUACCCCUGGGGUAGGGGUGGAAAUCCCUAUAAUCCCCAGGGGGGACCGCCAGUGGCGAAGGCGCCCCGCUGGAACGGGUCCGACGGUGA
rnacentral:rRNA from 1 species